UUCCAGACUCCUACGGGAGGCAGCAGUGGGGAAUAUUGCACAAUGGGGGAAACCCUGAUGCAGCGACGCCGCGUGAGUGAAGAAGUAUUUCGGUAUGUAAAGCUCUAUCAGCAGGGAAGAAAAUGACGGUACCUGACCAAGAAGCCCCGGCUAACUACGUGCCAGCAGCCGCGGUAAUACGUAGGGGGCAAGCGUUAUCCGGAUUUACUGGGUGUAAAGGGAGCGUAGACGGUUGUGCAAGUCAGAAGUGAAAGCCCGGGGCUCAACUCCGGGACUGCUUUUGAAACUGUGAAACUGGAGUGCAGGAGAGGUAAGCGGAAUUCCUGGUGUAGCGGUGAAAUGCGUAGAUAUCAGGAGGAACACCAGUGGCGAAGGCGGCUUACUGGACUGUAACUGACGUUGAGGCUCGAAAGCGUGGGGAGCAAACAGGAUUAGAUACCCCUGUAA
rnacentral:rRNA from 1 species